rnacentral:snRNA from 1 species
CCACUGUAGCAGCACAUACACUAAAAUUGGAAUGACAAAGAGCGUGGCCCCUGAACAAGGACAGCAUGCAAAUUUGUGAAGUGUUCCAUAGUUUU